UAAUACGAAGGGGGCUAGCGUUGCUCGGAAUUACUGGGCGUAAAGGGCGCGUAGGCGGCUUGGCCAGUCAGGCGUGAAAUUCCUGGGCUUAACCUGGGGACUGCGCUUGAUACUGCCAGGCUUGAGGCCGAGAGAGGGUGGUGGAAUUCCCAGUGUAGAGGUGAAAUUCGUAGAUAUUGGGAAGAACACCGGUGGCGAAGGCGACCACCUGGCUCGGUACUGACGCUGAGGCGCGACAGCGUGGGGAGCAAACAGG
rnacentral:rRNA from 1 species